UGCUGGAGGGAUUAGUCAGUGCUAAAGCUAGGGGAUGAUUAUCUAAAUGUAGCUAUUCUAGUAACAAAGUUGUUUUAUGUUUUCGAUUGAAACAGCUGUCUUGAGAUAAUUUGCUUGUGUUUGAAUUUUUCACACUGGGCCUAAGUGGAAAGUAUCUAUCUGUCAUGCUGUUAAGAUAACAUAGGAAGAGAGAGCCCCUUUGUUGCAAGAUGACCGCAAACAGCAUCUAGCAGACCAGGAAGCUUUUCCGAUACUUGCCAACUGUUACACAGGGUUCUCAAGUGAGCACCCGUAAUGGUGGAUGUAACCAGCAAGGUUUAGUUGUUUACCCCAGUGGCCGGGGGAGUUGGGUCAUCAGAUGCGUAAGUCCCAUCACGUCUGCGUACGUGCCAUUGACUGUAAAUUAGAAGCUGCUGAAAAAAUGUGACUUAAUAUGUAUGUUUCUCUGUAUUCCAGACACAACUGUUGAUGCAUUGUAAACAGCAGGAAAAAAUGUUUGUGUUUUACAUAUUAAAUCUAAAUAUCUAUUUAUACAGAGCUGUACCAAGUCAUUCCAUGUUGCUAAGAGCAAUCCA